rnacentral:rRNA from 1 species
CCUACGGGUGGCUGCAGUGGGGAAUUUUGGACAAUGGUCGGGAGACUGAACCAGCCAAGCCGCGUGAGGGAUGAAGGUACAGAGUAUCGUAAACCUCUUUUGUCAGGGAACAAAGGCGGGGACGUGUCCCCGGAUGAGUGUACCUGAAGAAAAAGCAUCGGCUAACUCCGUGCCAGCAGCCGCGGUAAUACGGAGGGUGCGAGCGUUAAUCGGAAUUACUGGGCGUAAAGCGCGCGUAGGCGGUAUGUCAAGUCAAGGGUGAAAUCCCCGCGCUCAACGUGGGAACUGCCUUUGAAACUGGCAAACUGGAGUGUGUGAGAGGAUAGUGGAAUUCCAGGUGUAGGAGUGAAAUCCGUAGAUAUCUGGAGGAACAUCAGUGGCGAAGGCGACUAUCUGGCACAUAACUGACGCUGAGGAGCGAAAGCGUGGGUAGCAAACAGGAUUAGAUACCCGAGUAGUC